rnacentral:rRNA from 1 species
GUGAACGCUGGCGGUAGGCCUAACCCAUGCAAGUCGAACGGCAGCACAGUAAGAGCUUGCUCUUACGGGUGGCGAGUGGCGGACGGGUGAGGAAUACAUCGGAAUCUACUUUUUCGUGGGGGAUAACGUAGGGAAACUUACGCUAAUACCGCAUACGACCUACGGGUGAAAGCAGGGGAUCUUCGGACCUUGCGCGAUUGAAUGAGCCGAUGUCGGAUUAGCUAGUUGGCGGGGUAAAGGCCCACCAAGGCGACGAUCCGUAGCUGGUCUGAGAGGAUGAUCAACCACACUGGAACUGAGACACGGUCCAGACUCCUACGGGAGGCAGCAGUGGGGAAUAUUGGACAAUGGGCGCAAGCCUGAUCCAGCCAUACCGCGUGGGUGAAGAAGGCCUUCGGGUUGUAAAGCCCUUUUGUUGGGAAAGAAAAGCAGCAGGUUAAUACCCCGCUGUUCUGACGGUACCCAAAGAAUAAGCACCGGCUAACUUCGUG